rnacentral:rRNA from 1 species
UCCUACGGGGCGCAGCAGUGGGGGAUAUUGCACAAUGGGGGGAACCCUGAUGCAGCGACGCCGCGUGGGCGAUGGAGUACUUCGGUAUGUAAAGCCCUAUCAGCAGGGAAGAAAAUGACGGUACCUGACUAAGAAGCCCCGGCUAAAUACGUGCCAGCAGCCGCGGUAAUACGUAGGGGGCAAGCGUUAUCCGGAUUUACUGGGUGUAAAGGGAGCGUAGACGGCAGCGCAAGUCUGGAGUGAAAUCCCGGGGCUUAACCCCGGAACUGCUUUGGAAACUGUGCGGCUGGAGUGCAGGAGGGGUA